UACGUAGGGUCCGAGCGUUGUCCGGAAUUAUUGGGCGUAAAGGGCUCGUAGGCGGUUUGUCGCGUCGGGAGUGAAAACUCAGGGCUCAACCCUGAGCGUGCUUCCGAUACGGGCUGACUAGAGGUAUGCAGGGGAGAACGGAAUUCCUGGUGUAGCGGUGGAAUGCGCGGAUAUCAGGAGGAACACCGGUGGCGAAGGCGGUUCUCUGGGCAUUACCUGACGCUGAGGAGCGAAAGCAUGGGGAGCGAACAGG
rnacentral:rRNA from 1 species